ACGGUGUGUGACAUCAACAAUCCCAGUUAUCAAGGGAAAACUUCCAAAGUGGGAAAUUUGGCCGGAUGCCCUGAAAUGCCUUGAUAUCGCUCCCUUUCUAGGAAUGAAUAAUUGACGUCGGUAUAUAGUCUGCGUUUAAUAGCAAUAUCCUAACAUUCAUUUGUAAGUAAGUGAACAUCCAGGACAAUGGCCAGCCCCAAAUUGACUCUCCUGGCCUUGGCCUUCUUCCUGUCAAUUUGUCCCAACCCAAUCGAGGGUAUUCGCUUCCGUUGCGGGAUUCUGGCCUUUUUCGGGAACGAUCGGGCUUGUCGUGCCUCUUGUUGGGUCGUGGGACGAAAAACGGUACGGAUCCAUCCGGGCAGUCGUCUCGAGUGGUACGAGCCAAGUUUAAGAUUAUGGUUUGCCCGUGUCUUCUAAGUUUCUGUGACGAGGUGGGCAUUAGACACUCCACUUUUAGAUGAUGAAGGUCUAGAGUGUUAGCGACAUAUCUACCACAAACUAACUUGGUAUCAUCAGCAUACGUCAAACUGGAUGGUAUAAGGGGUAAUGUCUCAAAAGGAGGUAUAAAAAGGGAUGAAUAGUUGGGGCCCAAGGAUGGACCCCUGGGACACUCCAGAACUUACGUUUUACGUAUGCACCAAUGCUCCACACAUUGGUUAUAAUUUUCUAUUGAAUAUAUUAUGCUGUUUCAAUGUCCCAAAAAUAUAACAAAAAUAAUUCGCUUUUCUGAAGCAUGCAGUAAA